UGAGGCGCGAAAGCGUGGGGAGCAAACAGGAUUAGAUACCCUGGUAGUCCACGCCCUAAACGAUGAAUGUUAGUCGUCGGGACUCUAGUAGUUUCGGUGAUGCAGUUAACACAUUAAACAUUCCGCCUGGGGAGUACGAUCGCAAGAUUAAAACUCAAAGGAAUAGACGGGGACCCGCACAAGUGGUGGAGCAUGUGGUUUAAUUCGAAGAUACGCGAAGAACCUUACCUAGCCUUGACAUAUUUUAGAACUCCGCAGAGAUGUAGAGGUGCCUUCGGGAGCUAAUAUACAGGUGCUGCACGGCUGUCGUCAGCUCGUGUCGUGAGAUGUUGGGUUAAGUCCCGCAACGAGCGCAACCCUCGUUCUUAGUUACUAACGGUUCGGCCGAGGACUCUAAGAAGACUGCCUUCGUAAGGAGGAGGAAGGUGAGGACGACGUCAAGUCAUCAUGGCCCUUACGGCUAGGGCAACACACGUGCUACAAUGGUUAGGACAAUGAGACGCAAUACCGCGAGGUGGAGCAAAUCUAUAAACCUAAUCUCAGUUCGGAUUGUAGUCUGCAACUCGACUACAUGAAGCUGGAAUCACUAGUAAUCGUAGAUCAGCUAUGAUGCGGUGAAUACGUUCCCGGGUC
rnacentral:rRNA from 1 species